AGAGGGGCCACCACUGUUAUUUUGUAUGAAGAAUAAUCUUCAACUGUAGACUCAUUAUGGGACACUUUCAUGAGUAUUUGGGUUCUAUGAUGAAGAUAAUGGAAGUAUUGGAUGGUCGGUGCCACUGAAAUCUUGUUAAUGCUUAUGAGGUAUUCAUGACUUGCAGCUCAAAUAAUUCUCUCUGAUGGUGCUACAUUUAGUUAGUUUCCAUGGAUGCAUGUGACUUCACUGUCAUGCCAACCACGUCUUAUUCUCCAAGAUUUCUUUGGAUAAGUCAAUUGCUCAUUCUCUUCAAGUAUAGAGAAGCAUUUGAUUGGCAUAACAUUGGCUUCUUAUUGGUGCAACACUAGAGGGGACAGAUUGCGACAUUUUGCUUCAGUGGUGACUGUGGUUGCACGAAGCUUGAAAGUUCAAGAUUCAUGUUUGAAACACCAGCAUGGGCCUCGUCGAAAUGCUACUUGUGUUAGAUGUGUUUCAGUGUCAUGAUUGGCAAGGGAAAUUGCAUGUGGCGGAAAUUGGAGGGGAAAUACUAUUUACUUGUAUGACUAAGAUUUGUACAAAUAGAGUUCAUUUUUCUAGCAAACAUUUUGAACUUUAAUACUUAGCUGCUGCAUCAUUGCCUAGUUGAUAGCUUCUGUAAUGUACAUCUUCUUAUUCUAAGUGGGAAGCUCCUAACCUCAAAGUUGGAUUAUUAUUUUGCCCUUA